CGGGUUUUUGCAGAGGGGGGGGGAUUGAAUUUGGCGGCGGCGACUCCUCCCUUCACCCGCUGAGCUUAAGCAUAUCAAUACGCGGAGGAAAAGAAACUAACAAGGAUUCCCUUAGCAGCUGCGAGUGACGAGGGAAGAGCUCAAAUUUAAAAUCUGGCACUCUUUUGGGCUGUACGAGUUGUAAUACAUAGAGAAGUGUUUUCUGCACUGGACCAUGUACAAGUCUCUUGGAAUGGAGCAUCAUAGAGGGUGACAAUCCUGUCUUUGACAUGGACUCCCAGGGCUUUUUGUGUAGCACUCUCAAAGAGUCGAGUUGUUUGGGAAUGCAGCUCAAAAUGGGUGGUAAAUUCCAUCUAAAGCUAAAUAUUGGCGAGAGACCGAUAGUGAACAAGUACCGUGAGGGAAAGAUGAAAAGAACUUUGAAAAGAGAGUUAAACAGUACGUGAAAUUGUUGAAAGGGAAAACAAUUCAAGUCAGUUGCAUUGUCUGGUAAUCAACCUCUGCAAGUUUGCAAGGCUUGCUUUACAGUCAAUGGGUCAGCAUCAAUUUUGACUGUCAGAUAAAGGCUUGGGGAAUGUGGCAUCCUCGGAUGUGUUAUAGCCUCUCGUCACAUGUGAUGGUUGAGAUUGAGGAAAUCAGCAUACCACUCUUUAGUGGUCGAGGCUUUUCUGCCUACGUAACAUGCUUAGGAUGCUGGCAUAAUGGCUUGAACUGACCCGUCUUGAAACACGG
rnacentral:rRNA from 1 species